rnacentral:rRNA from 1 species
CCUACGGGUGGCAGCAGUGGGGGAUAUUGCACAAUGGGGGGAACCCUGAUGCAGCGACGCCGCGUGGGUGAAGCAGUAUUUCGGUAUGUAAAGCUCUAUCAGCAGGGAAGAAAAAAGACGGUACCUGACUAAGAAGCCCCGGCUAACUACGUGCCAGCAGCCGCGGUAAUACGUAGGGGGCAAGCGUUAUCCGGAUUUACUGGGGGUAAAGGGAGCGUAGACGGCGCGGCAAGUCUGAAGUGAAAGGAAGGGGCUAAACCCCGGAACGGCUUUGGCAAUGGCAUGCUAGAGUGCUGGAGAGGUAAGUGGAAUUCCUAGGGUAGCGGUGAAAUGCGUAGAUAUUAGGAGGAACACCAGUGGCGAAGGCGGCUUACUGGACAGUAACUGACGUUGAGGAUCGAAAGCGUGGGUAGCAAACAGGAUUAGAUACCCGUGUAGUC